rnacentral:rRNA from 2 species
UUCAUGACUGGGGUGAAGUCGUAACAAGGUAACCGUAGGGGAACCUGCGGUUGGAUCACCUCCUUACCUAAAGA